rnacentral:rRNA from 1 species
UAGGGAAUCUUCCGCAAUGGGCGAAAGCCUGACGGAGCAACGCCGCGUGAGUGAUGAAGGUCUUCGGAUCGUAAAACUCUGUUAUUAGGGAAGAACAAAUGUGUAAGUAACUAUGCACGCCUUGACGGUACCUAAUCAGAAAGCCACGGCUAACUACGUGCCAGCAGCCGCGGUAAUACGUAGGUGGCCAGCGUUAUCCGGAAUUAUUGGGCGUAAAGCGCGCGUAGGCGGUUUUUUAAGUCUGAUGUGAAAGCCCACGGCUCAACCGUGGAGGGUCAUUGGAAACUGGAAAACUUGAGUGCAGAAGAGGAAAGUGGAAUUCCAUGUGUAGCGGUGAAAUGCGCAGAGAUAUGGAGGAACACCAGUGGCGAAGGCGACUUUCUGGUCUGUAACUGACGCUGAUGUGCGAAAGCGUGGGGAUCAAACAGG